AGAGUUUGAUCAUGGCUCAGAACGAACGCUGGCGGCGUGGAUAAGACAUGCAAGUCGAACGGGACCAAGUCUGUAGUAAUACAAACUUGGUUCAGUGGCGCACGGGUGCGUAACACGUGAGCAAUCUGCCGGGAAGUGGGGGAUAGCUCGCCGAAAGGCGAAUUAAUACCGCAUGUGGCCAUUCUUCGAGUGGAGGAAAAGCCAAAGCAGCAAUGCGCUUCCUGAUGAGCUCGCGGCCUAUCAGCUCGAUGGCGGGGUAAUGGCCCACCAUGGCUUUGACGGGUAGCUGGUCUGAGAGGACGACCAGCCACACUGGAACUGAGACACGGUCCAGACACCUACGGGUGGCAGCAGUCGAGAAUUUUUCACAAUGGGGGCAACCCUGAUGGAGCGACGCCGCGUGGAGGAUGAAGGCCUUCGGGUUGUAAACUCCUGUCAUGCGGGAACAAGCAAGUGAUAGUACCGCAAGAGGAAGAGACGGCUAACUCUGUGCCAGCAGCCGCGGUAAUACAGAGGUCUCAAGCGUUGUUCGGAUUCAUUGGGCGUAAAGGGUGCGUAGGUGGUGAUGCAAGUCUGGUGUGAAAUCUCGGAGCUCAACUCCGAAAUUGCACCGGAUACUGCGUGACUCGAGGACUGUAGAGGAGAUCGGAAUUCACGGUGUAGCAGUGAAAUGCGUAGAUAUCGUGAGGAAGACCAGUUGCGAAGGCGGAUCUCUGGGCAGUUCCUGACACUGAGGCACGAAAGCCAGGGGAGCAAACGGGAUUAGAUACCCCGGUAGUCCUGGCAGUAAACGGUGCACGUUUGGUGUGGGCGGGUUCAGACCCCGUCCGUGCCGGAGCUAACGCGUUAAACGUGCCGCCUGGAAGUACGUCGCAGAUUAAACUCAAAGAAAUUGACGGGGCCGCACAAGCGUGAGUAUGUGGCUUAUUUCGAUGCACGCGAAGAACCUUACCU
rnacentral:rRNA from 1 species